AGCCCUGAGGUGGAUUACCAU
rnacentral:tRNA from 1 species